UAGCACAAACCCUGCUGGCGGGAUGGCCUGAUACUCUUCUUUCUGCAUCGCUCUAGAGACAUCACGGGCUCCUGGAAGCGGAGACCGGCUGCAGGGCCCCAUCCCAGUCCUAGCUGCCCACAACCCAAGUGCCAGCAGGUGCUGAGGGACCUCGAACCCGCCAUUGCUUGUAGGCUGCCUAUUCCUGAACAGGUGGUGUCAUUCCAGGGCCCUGCGUCACCGCUGAUGUUUUCCUAAUAACACCUUGUGCUUCAACAGCGCCUUUCAUCUCAGGAUCUCAAAGCACAGCUUAGGCCCUUCAUUAAGCCUUCCAUAACCUCAGGAAGAGAGCCAUAUUGUUCCUCAGGCUGUUUCUGCUCUGCCCUGGGGCUGGGGUUAUGUGCACGUGAGAUACAAAGCAGCAUGGAGAGACAGGUCACAUUUUGGUGCCUCCAGGAGUGUUGCUGCACCGUACCCUGCAGCACACCGUGCCUCAGAGCAGCAUUGCCAGUGGACAAGCCAUUCCUCAUAUUGCACCCUGUCCUGGAGCAGCCCCCUGGAUCCUGUGCACCAUAUGCUAUGAAAUACUCUCUUCCUCCAGCCCCCUCCUGCCACCACUGCCCCACAGCCUGGCUGUGCUCUGGACACUGCUCCUGAACAUGAGUACACAGUAGGAAGAUGCCCAAGUAGCACUGCGCACCAUGGGCUUUCACUUCUCAAUUAUCACUUCUCUCUGGCAAAGUCCAAAUUACACUGAAAGCUCCUUGACGUGGAGAGCUUCCUUUCUCGUUACUAGAAAGUAUCUCCAGUGCAAUUCCUGGAACUGCAGGUGCUCUGGAAUCGCACAAAAAUAUGUGCACCUUAAGUUCUAAAAUGAGCAGAAAUCAAACCUUUGUGCUUCGUUUGGUUACUAAUGAGCAGUCCUAAUUAGUUACAGGGGGGCUCAUUUAAUGCCUAGAACUAAGUAAUUGCAGGAUUUAAUUAAAUUAAGUAGAAGGACUGUGGUCCCAAUGUUGCAACUGGAUCCAGCCAGGCACAGACAUCACUCUCACAGAACCACUGGCAAGAUCAACAA